UACGUAGGGUGCAAGCGUUGUCCGGAAUUAUUGGGCGUAAAGAGCUCGUAGGCGGUCUGUUGCGUCGGCUGUGAAAACCCGGGGCUCAACCCCGGGCCUGCAGCCGAUACGGGCAGACUAGAGUUCGGCAGGGGAGACUGGAAUUCCUGGUGUAGCGGUGGAAUGCGCAGAUAUCAGGAGGAACACCGGUGGCGAAGGCGGGUCUCUGGGCCUUACCUGACGCUGAGGAGCGAAAGCGUGGGGAGCGAACAGG
rnacentral:rRNA from 1 species